CAAAAUUCCAAGCAGCUGAACCAUGAACCACUUGACAAUCUUUUCAUGGUUAGAGGCUUUGCUUGGUGGGGUAAUGGAGGCAGAGAGUUUGAGAUAUAGAGAGGGAGAAGAGUAUGGAAGAGGGAUUGUAUGGUUAGGAGUGAGGGAGUGGAUGUAGUUGACCAAACAACAUUCUUAGAUGGCCCUAGUCUAGGGAACGCCAAUCCAAAGUUGGUAAGGGCCUACCCUUGG
rnacentral:lncRNA from 1 species